rnacentral:rRNA from 1 species
CCUACGGGGGGCUGCAGUGGGGAAUAUUGGACAAUGGGCGAAAGCCUGAUCCAGCCAUGCCGCGUGUGUGAAGAAGGCCUUCGGGUUGUAAAGCACUUUCAGUGGGGAAGAAAGCCUUGGGGCUAAUACCCUCGAGGAAGGACAUCACCCACAGAAGAAGCACCGGCUAACUCCGUGCCAGCAGCCGCGGUAAUACGGAGGGUGCGAGCGUUAUUCGGAAUUACUGGGCGUAAAGGGCGCGUAGGCGGUCUGAUAAGCCGGUUGUGAAAGCCCCGGGCUCAACCUGGGAACGGCAUCCGGAACUGCCAGGCUAGAGUGCAGGAGAGGAAGGUAGAAUUCCCGGUGUAGCGGUGAAAUGCGUAGAGAUCGGGAGGAAUACCAGUGGCGAAGGCGGCCUUCUGGACUGAAACUGACGCUGAGGUGCGAAAGCGUGGGUAGCAAACAGGAUUAGAUACCCGAGUAGUC